rnacentral:lncRNA from 1 species
CUUGAUCGUAAGGUAAAUGAUGUCGAAAAAUUAUAAAAUUUGAUUUCUAGAAGUUUUAAAUGCUGUAAAUAACGUUUAACGGUGUGGAUCGUCGAUUUGGAAACUCUAUCAUCGAAAACAACUUAUGAGUACGAGGGCGAUCGUACUCAUAAUAGUAUAGUAGCCGAACCCUAUAUAUAUAUAUAUAUAUAUAUAUGUAUGUAUGUAUGUUUUUUUGAGAGUCACGCUACCCGCUUCGUUUAUUUCAUUUAAAAAUAAACUUAGCUAGAAAUGUGAAUCAACUAUAAUUCAAACUUGAGUCUCGGAUACCAACCACCAAAUUUUUUGUCACUUGCUUUAGGGACGGUCGGUUGUAUGUAUGUAUGUUGUAUUUAGAUCUAUAACAUGUAAG